ensembl:lncRNA
UCACAAACAUGCCCCCUAAGCUGGAGUCUCAGCAGAGUUUGAAUUUUGGCACAGUCGGUGUGGCCUGACCUGGGAGGAUUCAGGUAUCAUUCUGUUGAGCAACACAAAUCAUUCCACCAAACAAACAGUUUGUAGCUGUGUAAAAUGAUUUGUCAUGGUCGAAAGCAUUCCUGCUGAAUGUAUCUGAUUCUACUGUAAACAUUACGGUAUAAAAACAUGACCGUUUUUUAUCCUCAUUUUGCCUCAUACUGCUAAAACACAAUACUAGAUUAAUGGUCUGCUUUCUGUUUGCCUUGAAGGAUCUGGCCGAGCAUAGCUGUGAGGAAAAGGGGAGGGCAUGUUGGUGAGCGUUUCGAUAUUGGCUUCCUCACACUCAGACACACACACACGCAAGCAGCCAAUCAGAGGCAGCUCAGAUCCCUUUCAACACUACUGCAUUCCCUACAUCUCGCCAUCUCUGGGGUAUCUUUUCAUCUGAAGCUCCUGCCCCCCUCCUCUCCUCCCGUAUCCUUCUCUCUCCAUCCCUCCAUCUGUGUGAAACAAAAGACUGCGGCUAGGUCUUGAUCCCUCCCACUUUCUCCUCACCUCUCCCUCCUUCUCUAUCUGUAGGAUUCUCUGACACAUCUUUUCUUGUUUAUGUGUGAUAACCUCAUCAUAAUAUCUGUACAUCGUGAGAGAGAGACGUUUCAAACCUUUGAGACAAAAUCCUCAUGUCUGAACAAAAACGAAGAGCAAUGUUUAAAAUGCUGGGUGCAGCUUAUACUUUCAUCAAAGGAAAAAAGAAAGCCUAGAUAAAAGUGUGUCUAGAGCAGCUCUUAAGGUAAUUGGGCUCAUCUAUGGAUGGAUGCCAACUCGGAAGCCAAUCUGCUGUUUUAUAUAAUCGAUUACAUUUUAAUCUGAGCUUUUCUUUAUGGAUUCACACUUCUGAACAGGGAUACUAAAAUAAGCUUGUGCAUAAAAAUACUUCUAAUCUUUGCCAAGAACCAAAUCCCCUCCAAUUCCCUCUCAUUCUUUUCCUCCCUCAAUCCUCAAGGGGUGCAUGACAAAUGAAAUGAGA